CACCUACCGCCGUUCCCCAAGCCGCCGACGAGCACCAGGCAGUCGACGCCAUGGACGGCUGCUGAGCUUCGCGCCACCCGACGUCAACCGCAUCGCCGCCCCAAGGGAUCCGUGCGCGUGGCCGCGCCGCCGGUGUGUGCGGCCGCAGCAACAGGUUCGGCAAGGACUCUCGGCCCUGCCGCUUCAUUGCUCCUGCCCAAGCCGGCCUCCGCUUUCUGACCCCGCCACCGGCGAGCUGCCAUGCCCGUCCUCGUCGCACUGGUGCUAUCCUCUAGUAUGCUUGCUGGCUGCGACCAGAGCCCUGUACAUAUUUGGUUGUUGCUUUCUUGAUGGGUUUUAAGUGGAUCUUAAUUUGAUGUAUCCUGGCACUUGUCCAUGUGUAAAUCUGAUGUGCAGAACACUUAGAAGUUGCUACUCGUAGGAUAUUCUUGCUCGUAUGUGUACACGUGAAGAAUGGCUAGCUCGUAGAUCCGUUUUCUUUUUGUUAAAGAAAUAUACAUUAAUUUUUAUUUAAUUUGUAUUGCAAAUCUCUGUAGUGACGCCAUCGUCCUCUUUUGC
rnacentral:rRNA from 1 species